CCUACGGGAGGCAGCAGUGAGGAAUAUUGGUCAAUGGGCGCGAGCCUGAACCAGCCAAGCAGCGUGAAGGAUGACUGCCCUACGGGUUGUAAACUUCUUUUAUACAGGAAUAAAGUGAGGCACGUGUGCCUGUUUGUAAGUACUUUAUGAAUAAGGAUCGGCUAACUCCGUGCCAGCAGCCGCGGUAAUACGGAGGAUCCAAGCGUUAUCCGGAUUUAUUGGGUUUAAAGGGAGCGUAGAUGGGUUGUUAAGUCAGUGGUGAAAGUUUGCGGCUCAACUGUAAAAUUGCAAUUGAUACUGGCGGUCUUGAGUAUAGUUGCGGUAGGCGGAAUGCAUGGUGUAGCGGUGAAAUGCAUAGAUAUCACACAGAACUCCGAUUGCGAAGGCAGCUUACUAAACUACCACUGACAUUGAUGCACGAAAGUGUGGGUAUCAAACAGGAUUAGAUACCCUGGUAGUC
rnacentral:rRNA from 1 species